rnacentral:lncRNA from 1 species
UGAAAGAUUUUUAAACGAAUAUUAUACGAGAAAUAUUCUAAUAUCAAGAAUUUAGACAAUUAAUAAAACAUUUUGCGGAAUAUGCAAGUUGUGUAAAUGAAUUAAUAAAUGCUUAACUCAUCAGAUAACAUCGAAUGUUUUUUUAUGAGAAAGAGAUAGCAAACUAUCUGAUUCAUUCAUCAAGCAAAAUGAACUAAGCGUACAUGAUAGAAGUAGCUAUGGCCCCCUAAGAAAAGCAGAAAAAAAGGCAGAAAAUGAACAAGAUAGGAAAAAUAAAACUAGAAGAAAAAGCUAGAAAGCUAGAAAGCUAGAAAGCUAGCGCGAAGGAGGGAGAGGUGCGAAAGUACAAAAGUAGGUAAAACCCAGCAUAGAAAGAGAAAGAUGACGGGUCAAUCCAGAGAUUCGUCAAGGUAAAGACGUCCAGGCAUGCAUCAAGAUAGAGACGCGCUCAAGAGCCUUAGUAGCAUUAGGAAGAUACUUACGGAAGAUAGUGUUGUUGUGUUCCGUCCAGAUGACCCAUCAGAUUGUCGCCAAAUUGGUUAGACGUUUCAUAUAUUCUCUUCGAAUGUUAAUAUCGAUAGUUAUAUGCCAUAACCAAUCGUGUAAUUCACUGGCAAAAAAUAAAGAGAAAACUUAAGUAUUAUAUUUGGUAAUCUAUAAUUAUUUAAUUGAAGGUUUUAGAGAGUAAAAAGUUGAGUUA